AAACUUUUCUCCCUGGUGGAGGAACCACUUGCAUGAGAAUAAGAGGUUGUUACCCAGGCCAUCAAACUCCAAACAGUCAUGCAACUGGAGCCUCUGAGGAUGGCCCCUUCUGCCGCAAACCCUUAGAUCAGCCUCUAGAGAAGCUUUGACUGCUGUUUCCCCAAAACAGCACCCCCUGCCAUCAGGAAGCAAGCUGAUCAAGGAAAGAAGAUUAGGCAUGGAUAUUCAGUUUAAAAUGGUAGAGAACCAUAAUAAUACCUACCUCGAAGUGACGAUAUAAACUACAUGCCACAGAGCACCUGCUUCACACAGUGUUGGAACCCACAGAGCUGCCACCUGGAAAUCCCUGCUCAUCUAAGGGUUGCGUCUAGACUCUGGCAGAUUUGGGGAGGGUGGGGUUUGAGUUAUGUCCCUUCCUGAGCUGUCCCGUGCCACAGCUUGCUGCUCUGUUGUCUCCUGACAAUUGGUCUCCUUGCUGUUAUUUCCAGAAAGCUUCACGCAGGAUACUCCUCUCACUCCUCGGGCCAUCUUUCACGUAAUAC
rnacentral:sRNA from 1 species